AGUGAACGCUGGCGGUAGGCCUAACACAUGCAAGUCGAACGGCAGCACAGGAGAGCUUGCUCUCUGGGUGGCGAGUGGCGGACGGGUGAGGAAUACAUCGGAAUCUACUUUUUCGUGGGGGAUAACGUAGGGAAACUUACGCUAAUACCGCAUACGACCUACGGGUGAAAGCAGGGGAUCUUCGGACCUUGCGCGAUUGAAUGAGCCGAUGUCGGAUUAGCUAGUUGGCGGGGUAAAGGCCCACCAAGGCGACGAUCCGUAGCUGGUCUGAGAGGAUGAUCAGCCACACUGGAACUGAGACACGGUCCAGACUCCUACGGGAGGCAGCAGUGGGGAAGAUUGGACAAUGGGCGCAAGCCUGAUCCAGCCAUACCGCGUGGGUGAAGAAGGCCUUCGGGUUGUAAAGCCCUUUUGUUGGGAAAGAAAUCCAGCCGGCUAAUACCUGGUUGGGAUGACGGUACCCAAAGAAUAAGCACCGGCUAACUUCGUGCCAGCAGCCGCCGUAA
rnacentral:rRNA from 1 species